GGGGCCUCGCCGAUCAUGACACUCAAGCAUACCAUGGACUUUCAGCAGGAUCCAUGUAUGGUUAGUGUUAUCAUCGGCGAGUGCCCCG
rnacentral:pre_miRNA from 1 species